AAAUGAGGUGUAUACAGGUAGAUAGGUGGACACCCACUGCGUGACAUUCUGUGAUAACUAUUGGCGCUUUAACCUCAGGGGGUCUCUAUGUUUGUGGUGUGUCUACAGGAAGCAUGGUUUAACUGGGAGUCGGGCCUGUGAGUUUAGAGGGUGAACUCUGAGGGGUCCUUGCGCACCUGUCCCUAACUUCUGGGUUCUCACUGGGGUUGGUGUAUGUAAGUACAGUCUCUGGAGGAAAGUCUCUUGGUUCUCAGGAGCGGAGAGGGUGAGUAUGUCGUCUCCUUGUGGUAACAGUAGGGAGCCAUCCUCCCUCAAUGCGUUCCGGGAUGCCUCGACGUUGGAUGUUCCUCCUUCUCUGCUUGGACUCCAUCACUAUCA